rnacentral:rRNA from 1 species
AUUAUGGAGAGUUUGAUCCUGGCUCAGGACGAACGCUGGCGGCAUGCCUAAUACAUGCAAGUCGAGCGGAAUGAUGGGAGCUUGCUCCCUG